rnacentral:rRNA from 1 species
UUAAUUGAAGAGUUUGAUCAUGGCUCAGAUUGAACGCUGGCGGCAGGCCUAACACAUGCAAGUCGAGCGGUAACAGAAAGUAGCUUGCUACUUUGCUGACGAGCGGCGGACGGGUGAGUAAUGCUUGGGAACAUGCCUUUAGGUGGGGGACAACAGUUGGAAACGACUGCUAAUACCGCAUAACGUCUACGGACCAAAGGGGGCUUCGGCUCUCGCCUAAAGAUUGGCCCAAGUGGGAUUAGCUAGUUGGUGAGGUAAUGGCUCACCAAGGCAACGAUCCCUAGCUGGUUUGAGAGGAUGAUCAGCCACACUGGAACUGAGACACGGUCCAGACUCCUACGGGAGGCAGCAGUGGGGAAUAUUGCACAAUGGGCGAAAGCCUGAUGCAGCCAUGCCGCGUGUGUGAAGAAGGCCUUCGGGUUGUAAAGCACUUUCAGUCAGGAGGAAAGGUUAGUAGUUAAUACCUGCUAGCUGUGACGUUAC